GGCCCCGGUAGCUCAGCCUGGUGGAGCGCCUCACUGGUAGACUGAGGAGGUCCCGGGUUCGAAUCCCGGCCGGGGCUCC
rnacentral:tRNA from 1 species